AGUGAACGCUGGCGGUAGGCCUAACACAUGCAAGUCGAACGGCAGCACAGUAAGAGCUUGCUCUUACGGGUGGCGAGUGGCGGACGGGUGAGGAAUACAUCGGAAUCUACUUUUUCGUGGGGGAUAACGUAGGGAAACUUACGCUAAUACCGCAUACGACCUACGGGUGAAAGCAGGGGAUCUUCGGACCUUGCGCGAUUGAAUGAGCCGAUGUCGGAUUAGCUAGUUGGCGGGGUAAAGGCCCACCAAGGCGACGAUCCGUGGCUGGUCUGAGAGGAUGGUCAGCCACACUGGAACUGAGACACGGUCCAGACUCCUACGGGAGGCAGCAGUGGGGAAUAUUGGACAAUGGGCGCAAGCCUGAUCCAGCCAUACCGCGUGGGUGAAGAAGGCCUUCGGGUUGUAAAGCCCUCUUGUUGGGAAAGAAAAGCAGCAGGUUAAUACCCCGCUGUUCUGACGGUACCCAAAGAAUAAGCACCGGCUAACUUCGUG
rnacentral:rRNA from 1 species